rnacentral:piRNA from 1 species
GCCACGACUCUUGGGACGAACUUG